rnacentral:lncRNA from 1 species
UAAAAUAGUAGGCACAUAGUUGAAUGAAGGCUCAGGCGGAGAGGAUCACUUUUCAAAGAUUGUAAAAGAAGUUACGUGGAUAGUGUGUGUUAUGCAGCAAGGAAAGGAAUGGAAAAUCAGAAGACGUGUUUAGAUCACACAAACCAGAGGUGAAAGCUGAAUCUGAGAGGCUUCUGUUUCCAGCAAUAAGGCCAAUAAUACCCCAAGCUCCUGACUGAAACCAAACACUCUGGAGGGACACUCUCACAUGCAGGCCAGAAGGAAUUUGAAUAGAAGGAAACAGGCUAAAGAAGAGAGCUCAUGGCAAAAAUUACAAACCAUACAAGGAAGGCAUUCACCACAGUGAGAGUCUGUUGUUUGGUGAAUACUCAUUUAGGAUUGUUAAAUCUUCUUGGAGGAUUGACCUUUUUAUCAUUAGGUUGCUGAAGAAGAAUCUUACUCUAGGGCUCACUAGCAACUUUGGACUGGUGAUGUAUAAGACAU